GGCCUCCUGUCAGCAGAUCCUCCUCUAAAAUUGGAGCAAUACAGACAAGGUAAGCGAGGCCCCAGCACAGGGAUGACAUCAAUCAGUGACUCAUUCCAUUUCU